rnacentral:ribozyme from 15 species
GAUGAAUUCAAAAAAAGCAACAAAAAACGAAAAAAAGGGGAAACUUAAUUAAAAAAAUUAAAUCGUAUUCUUAAUUUUAGAUUUUUCAUUCCCUCUUUUUUUUUUGGAUCUGUUUUUUUGCUCUUUUCUUU